CUAAACCUGGAGACUUACACGCUGUGUUCUAAACUUCGGAAAUACAAAGUCACUCUCACACUUCAGUUAAUAGAGACUCUGCACAAUGAAUGCACGGAAGCGGCAGAAGUCUGAGCAACUACACUGUUUGUUUAUCAUCUGCACAAUCUUUUCCUUAUGCUGUGGACCUUCUGAAACAGUGCACAACAUAGAGCACAGAUAUUCCAUCAACCAAAGAGAUCAAUUCCUCCAUAAACACUUUAACAAUUGAAAUGUAAAUGGACUGCUAUCACACACAU